AUGAUGACUGUUUUGCAGGGGUGGACGACUCUGGUCGGGGGAUACUUAGAGUGGAUGGAGGUUGUUGUUGGCCAGCUGGGCUUCUCGCCCCAGUCGCCUGAGAUGACUGAUGUAGGUCAUGUUGGGAAUGUUGCUGGGGCCGAGGAUUACAUCAAGAGUGAUGUGGCUAGUUGCUCGUCUGAGGUCCUAGCUUCUAUGGCGCAACUUGAGGGUGCUACACAUGUUCUGGUCUCGGCUCUGCCUAUGGAGGACAAAGCUGAGGUCGUUGGGACUGUGGCAUGCGCGGAGGCUCCUCUUGGCAGGCCCCUAGUUGUGCCCCUAGUGUCCCCGGUGCUUGAGCUCCAAGUUGGUUCUGCGGAUGUGCAGGAAGCCUGUUUGUAUGUAUGUUUCUCCCCUCGUGCCGCUCUUUGCACGUCGUCGCUACCUGUCAUGCUAAGUGACUCUGGGAUUUAG
rnacentral:rRNA from 1 species